UCCCUACGGGGGGCAGCAGGCGCGAAAACUUUACAAUGCGGGAAACCGUGAUAAGGGGACCCCGAGUGCCAGCAUCAUAUGCUGGCUGUCCGGAUGUGUAAAAUACAUCCGUUAGCAAGGGCCGGGCAAGACCGGUGCCAGCCGCCGCGGUAACACCGGCGGCCCGAGUGGUGAUCGUGAUUAUUGGGUCUAAAGGGUCCGUAGCCGGUUUGGUCAGUCCUCCGGGAAAUCUGAUAGCUUAACUAUUAGGCUUUCGGGGGAUACUGCCAGAC
rnacentral:rRNA from 1 species